UACAGGGGGUGCAAACGUUGCUCGGAAUUAUUGGGCGUAAAGCGCGCGUAGGCGGCUACUUAAGUCGGAUGUGAAAGCCCUUGGCUCAACUGAGGAAGUGCACCCGAAACUGAGUGGCUUGAGUACUAAAGAGGGUCGCGGAAUUCCAGGUGUAGCGGUGAAAUGCGUGGAUAUCUGGAGGAACACCGGUGGCGAAGGCGGCAUCCUGGACCGGCAUUGACGCUGAGGCGCGAAAGCCAGGGGAGCAAACGGG
rnacentral:rRNA from 1 species